CCCUGGCCCGGAGACCUUGCCUGAGCGCCUCCUGCGGGGACUGGGCACCAACAGGCAGCCAGCAUGUGAGGGGCCGCUAGGAAGAAGCGACACCUGGAGGUCCCCCUUCCCCAAUACAGGGGGGUGUCGGUUCUUCUCAUCUCCAUUCUGACAGUCCAGAUGGUACGGUGUCUCCCUCCCUCCCCCUCAGGCAAAGAAGCACAGUGUCCCGCAGACAUUUUCCCUUUUUCUCAAUAAAGUACAAUCCUAAUACAAAUAUAAACAAA